AUUAUUAUUUUUAUGUGUUGAUCUUCCCAAAUACCCGAUCCAAAAGUACUUCUCUCGUCUCUCGGUUCCACCUUCCACGGCUUCAAGACAUGUUUUGUUAAAGAAAUUUAUGGUCCUGGCUCGGCCAAUGGAGGGCAUGGAUGAGUUUAACACUUUAAGAUGGUGGUUGAUGUACAGGUACCGCGAAGAUGAACCCUACCGCAUAAGACCGGAGUUUCGACCUCGUUCCAAGUACAACGGAGCUCUGGUUAGAGCCGUCUUCAGUGCCAUCGAGUUUCUGAAGGGGGAGAAGAUGAUUCCCACCAAAGAAAAUAUACAGAACUUCCUUCGACACAGUGAUAUUCCAAAUCAUCACGUGAUCAAUGUCGACGAAGCUCUGGAUCAUGCCAUCGAGCAUAACGACGUACUCAUGCAGGAACUGGGGGAACAACGUCUCUAUAUCAAGAGGUAUUCGUACCUCUGGCAAUGUGUGAAUCCUGAAGGAGGCCAAACUGAUCAGUACUCUGAUGCUACCUGGGACGCCGUAGAGAAGUUUCUAAGUUCCACUAAUAUAUGGCCUUGUAAAAAUGCUUCUUGCUGGAAGCAGGUACGAAGCAGCUCUAGUACUGAAGAAUUCAUGUUUGCCUCGCCUUUCUCUGGGGACGGUAAUACAAAUUUUCAACAUGGUGGUUGCCAACGGGUGGAUUAAGAUAUAUGGGGACGGACCCUAUUCCAUCAGUGUGACCCAAGAAGUGUUGAAGUGAUUUAAGACAGUUUGUUGUUUUCUUUUAUGCCAAAAUUUUAUUGUUUGAGUGACAGAAAGCAUUUCCAAAUGUUAUCUGGUCUAAAAAUAUCAAGUUUGUUUUGUUUUUUUUUU